rnacentral:rRNA from 1 species
GACGAACGCUGGCGGCGUGCUUAACACAUGCAAGUCGAACGGAAGGGCCCUUCGCGGUACUCGAGUGGCGAACGGGUGGGUGACACGUGAGUGAGCUGCCCUGCACUUUGUGAUACGCCUGGGACACUGGGUCUCAUGCCCUAUUGGACCACGACAUUCUUGUCCGGUUGGGGCAAGCUUUGGCGGCGUUGGUUGGGCCCGUGGCGUAUCGGCUUGUGGUGGGGGUGAUGGCCUGCCAAGUCGAGGGCGGGUAACGGCACUGUGGAGGUGAGCGGCGACACUGGGACUGAGAGACGGCCCAGAUAGCUACGGGAGGGAGCAGGGGGGAAUCUUGCCGGAGGGGCGCAAGCCGGAUGCAGCGACGCCGCGUGAGGGAUGACGGCCUUCGGGGUGUAGACCUCUUGCGCCAGGGACGAAGCGCAAGUGACGGUAACUGGAGAAGAAGGCCCGGCCAACUACGUG